rnacentral:rRNA from 1 species
GUUGUAUAGUCAAGUAAUUAAGUGCAUGUGGUGGAUGCCUUGGCAGUCAGAGGCGAUGAAAGACGUGAUAGCCUGCGAAAAGCUCCGGGGAGGCGGCAAAUAUCCUUUGAUCCGGAGAUGUCUGAAUGGGGGAACCCACCUACUUUAAGGUAGGUAUUGCAACAUGAAUACAUAGUGUUGCAAGGCGAACGAGGGGAAGUGAAACAUCUCAGUACCCUUAGGAAAAGAAAUCAAUUGAGAUUCCCUCAGUAGCGGCGAGCGAACGGGGAUCAGCCCAUUAAGUUAUGUGUGUUUUAGUGGAACGCUCUGGGAAGUGCGAACGUAGAGGGUGAUAUUCCCGUACACGAAAGGGCACACAUAAUGAUGACGAGUAGGGCGAGGCACGUGAAACCUUGUCUGAAUAUGGGGGGACCAUCCUCCAAGGCUAAAUACUCCUGACUGACCGAUAGUGAACCAGUACCGUGAGGGAAAGGCGAAAAGAACCCCUGUGAGGGGAGUGAAAUAGAUCCUGAAACCGCAUGCAUACAAGCAGUGGGAGCACCUUCGUGGUGUGACUGCGUACCUUUUGUAUAAUGGGUCAGCGACUUAUAUUCAGUAGCGAGGUUAACCGUAUAGGGGAGCCGUAGAGAAAUCGAGUCUUAAUAGGGCGUUUAGUUGCUGGGUAUAGACCCGAAACCAGGCGAUCUAUCCAUGAGCAGGUUGAAGGUUGGGUAACACUAACUGGAGGACCGAACCCACUGUCGUUGAAAAGCCAGGGGAUGACUUGUGGAUAGGGGUGAAAGGCUAAUCAAGCCUGGUGAUAGCUGGUUCUCCCCGAAAGCUAUUUAGGUAGCGCCUCGGACGAAUACCAUAGGGGGUAGAGCACUGUUUCGGCUAGGGGGUCAUCCCGACUUACCAAACCGAUGCAAACUCCGAAUACCUAUGAGUACUAUCCGGGAGACAGACUGCGGGUGCUAACGUCCGUAGUCAAGAGGAAAACAAUCCAGACCGCCAGCUAAGGCCCCAAAAUCAUAGUUAAGUGGGAAACGAUGUGGGAAGGCAUAGACAGCUAGGAGGUUGGCUUAGAAGCAGCCACCCUUUAAAGAAAGCGUAAUAGCUCACUAGUCGAGUCGGCCUGCGCGGAAGAUGUAACGGGGCUAAAACUAUGUGCCGAAGCUGCGGAUNNNNNNNNNNNNNNNNNGCUGGAGGUAUCAGAAGUGCGAAUGCUGACGUGAGUAACGACAAAACGGGUGAAAAACCCGUUCGCCGAAAGACCAAGGGUUCCAGUCCAACGUUAAUCGGGGCUGGGUGAGUCGACCCCUAAGGCGAGGCCGAAAGGCGUAGUCGAUGGGAAAAUGGUUAAUAUUCCAUUACUUCUGUGUAAUGCGAUGAGAGGACGGAGAAGGCUAAAUCAGCCUGGCGUUGGUUGUCCAGGUGAAAGGAUGUAGGCAUGUAUCUUAGGCAAAUCCGGGGUACUCUAUGCUGAGAUCUGAUAGCAAGCUGUACUUGUACAGCGAAGUGGUUGAUGCCAUGCUUCCAGGAAAAGUCUCUAAGCUUCAGUUACACAGGAAUCGUACCCGAAACCGACACAGGUGGUCAGGUCGAGUAGACCAAGGCGCUUGAGAGAACUCUGCUGAAGGAACUAGGCAAAAUGGUACCGUAACUUCGGGAGAAGGUACGCUGUUGUUGGUGAUGGAACUCGCUUCCUGAGCUGACGACAGCCGCAGAAACCAGGCCGCUGCAACUGUUUAUUAAAAACAUAGCACUCUGCAAACACGAAAGUGGACGUAUAGGGUGUGAUGCCUGCCCGGUGCUGGAAGGUUAAUUGAUGGGGUUAGCGUAAGCGAAGCUCUUGAUCGAAGCCCCAGUAAACGGCGGCCGUAACUAUAACGGUCCUAAGGUAGCGAAAUUCCUUGUCGGGUAAGUUCCGACCUGCACGAAUGGCAUAAUGAUGGCGGCGCUGUCUCCAGCAGAGGCUCAGUGAAAUCGAAAUCGCUGUGAAGAUGCAGUGUACCCGCGGCUAGACGGAAAGACCCCGUGAACCUUUACUGCAGCUUGACACUGAACUUUGACCUUACUUGUGUAGGAUAGGUGGGAGGCUUUGAAGCUGGAACGCUAGUUCCAGUGGAGCCGUCCUUGAAAUACCACCCUGGUAAUGUUGAGGUUCUAACUCUGUCCCGUGAUCCGGGACGAGGACCGUGUCUGGUGGGUAGUUUGACUGGGGCGGUCUCCUCCUAAAGAGUAACGGAGGAGUACGAAGGUGCGCUCAGCGUGGUCGGAAAUCACGCGUAGAGUAUAAAGGCAAAAGCGCGCUUAACUGCGAGACCCACAAGUCGAGCAGGUACGAAAGUAGGUCUUAGUGAUCCGGUGGUUCUGUAUGGAAGGGCCAUCGCUCAACGGAUAAAAGGUACUCUGGGGAUAACAGGCUGAUACCGCCCAAGAGUUCAUAUCGACGGCGGUGUUUGGCACCUCGAUGUCGGCUCAUCUCAUCCUGGGGCUGAAGCAGGUCCCAAGGGUAUGGCUGUUCGCCAUUUAAAGAGGUACGCGAGCUGGGUUUAGAACGUCGUGAGACAGUUCGGUCCCUAUCUACCGUGGGCGCUGGAAAUUUGAGAGGAUCUGCUCCUAGUACGAGAGGACCAGAGUGGACGAACCUCUGGUGUACCGGUUGUGACGCCAGUCGCAUCGCCGGGUAGCUAUGUUCGGAAGGGAUAACCGCUGAAAGCAUCUAAGCGGGAAGCCUACCUCAAGAUAAGAUUUCCCUAGGACUUUAUGUCCUCUAAAGAGCCGUUCGAGACUAGGACGUUGAUAGGUUGGAUGUGGAAGCAUAGUGAUAUGUGAAGCUGACCAAUACUAAUUGCUCGUGAGGCUUGACUAUACAACACCCAAGCAGUUG